CACGUAGGGCGCAAGCGUUGUCCGGAAUUAUUGGGCGUAAAGAGCUCGUAGGCGGUCUGUUACGUCUGCUGUGAAAACCCGGGGCUUAACCCUGGGCUUGCAGUGGAUACGGGCAGACUAGAGGCAGGUAGGGGAGAAUGGAAUUCCCGGUGUAGCGGUGAAAUGCGCAGAUAUCAGGAGGAACACCGGUGGCGAAGGCGGAUCCCUGGGCCUUACCUGACGCUCAGGUGCGAAAGCUAGGGGAGCGAACAGG
rnacentral:rRNA from 1 species